AAAUGAAUAGACGGGGGCCCGCACAAGCGGAGGAACAUGUGGUUUAAUUCGAUGAUACGCGAGGAACCUUACCUGGGCUUAAAUGGAGAACGACCGGUGCCGAAAGGUGCCUUCCAGCAAUGGCGGUCUUCAAGGUGCUGCAUGGUUGUCGUCAGCUCGUGCCGUGAGGUGUCGGUUUAAGUACCAUAACGAGCGCAACCCUCAUUGUUAGUUGCCAGCGGGUAAAGCCGGGGACUCUAACGAAACUGCUCCGGUAACGGAGAGGAAGGUGGGGAUGAGGUCAAAUCAGCACGGCCCUUACGUCCAGGGCUACACACGUGUUACAAUGGCCGGUACAGAGGGCAGCUACCACGCGAGUGGAUGCCAAUCUCGAAAACCGGUCUCAGUUCGGAUUGAUGUCUGCAACUCGACAUCAUGAAGUUGGAUUCGCUAGUAAUCGCGCAUCAGCCACGGCGCGGUGAAUACGUUCCCGGGCCUUGUACACACCGCCCGU
rnacentral:rRNA from 1 species